rnacentral:rRNA from 1 species
AAAUUGAAGAGUUUGAUCAUGGCUCAGAUUGAACGCUGGCGGCAGGCCUAACACAUGCAAGUCGAACGGUAACAGGAAUCAGCUUGCUGAUUUGCUGACGAGUGGCGGACGGGUGAGUAAUGUCUGGGAAACUGCCUGAUGGAGGGGGAUAACUACUGGAAACGGUAGCUAAUACCGCAUAACGUCGCAAGACCAAAGAGGGGGACCUUCGGGCCUCUUGCCAUCGGAUGUGCCCAGAUGGGAUUAGCUAGUAGGUGGGGUAACGGCUCACCUAGGCGACGAUCCCUAGCUGGUCUGAGAGGAUGACCAGCCACACUGGAACUGAGACACGGUCCAG